GUAGGGAAUAUUGCACAAUGGGGGAAACCCUGAUGCAGCGACGCCGCGUGAGUGAUGAAGGCCUUCGGGUUGUAAAGCUCUGUGGGGAGGGAAGAAAAAGCGGGAGAGUAACUGCUCUCGUGUUGACGGUACCUCCUUAGCAAGCACCGGCUAACUCUGUGCCAGCAGCCGCGGUAAUACAGAGGGUGCAAACGUUGCUCGGAAUUACUGGGCGUAAAGCGCGUGUAGGCUGUCAUGCAAGUCGGGUGUGAAAUCCCAGGGCUCAACCUUGGAACUGCACUCGAAACUGCACGUCUUGAGUACUGGAGAGGGAAGCGGAAUUCCGGGUGUAGAGGUGAAAUUCGUAGAUAUCCGGAGGAACACCAGUGGCGAAGGCGGCUUCCUGGACAGUAACUGACGCUGAGACGCGAAAGCGUGGGGAGCAAACAGGAUUAGAAACCCGGGUAGUCC
rnacentral:rRNA from 1 species